rnacentral:sRNA from 1 species
UUAGCCCUCCUGUCAA